AUUGAACGCCGGCGGCAGGCCUAACACAUGCAAGUCGAACGGUAGCACAGAGAGCUUGCUCUCGGGUGACGAGUGGCGGACGGGUGAGUAAUGUCUGGGAAACUGCCUGAUGGAGGGGGAUAACUACUGGAAACGGUAGCCAAUACCGCAUAACGUCGCAAGACCAAAGAGGGGGACCUUCGGGCCUCUUGCCAUCGGAUGUGCCCAGAUGGGAUUGGCUAGUAGGUGGGGUAAUGGCUCACCUAGGCGACGAUCCCUAGCUGGUCUGAGAGGAUGACCAGCCACACUGGAACUGAGACACGGUCCAGACUCCUACGGGAGGCAGCAGUGGGGAAUAUUGCACAAUGGGCGCAAGCCUGAUGCAGCCAUGCCGCGUGUAUGAAGAAGGCCUUCGGGUUGUAAAGUACUUUCAGCGAGGAGGAAGGCAUUAAGGUUAAUAACCUUAGUGAUUGACGUUACUCGCAGAAGAAGCACCGGCUAACUCCGUGCCAGCCGCCGCAGUAACAC
rnacentral:rRNA from 1 species